rnacentral:rRNA from 1 species
AAUCAACGCUGGCGGCGUGCCUCAGACAUGCAAGUCGAACGAUUAAAGCUCUCUUCGGAGAGUGCAUAAAGUGGCGCACGGGUGAGUAACACGUAAGUAAUCUACCCUCGAGUGGGGAAUAACGUUCGGAAACGGACGCUAAUACCGCAUAAUGCAGCGGCACCGCAAGGCGACAGUUGUUAAAGAUUUAUCGCUUGAGGAGGAGCUUGCGGCAGAUUAGCUAGUUGGUAAGGUAAUGGCUUACCAAGGCUACGAUCUGUAACCGGUCUUAGAGGACGGUCGGUCACACUGACACUGAAUAACGGGUCAGACUCCUACGGGAGGCAGCAGUCGGGAAUUUUGGGCAAUGGGCGAAAGCCUGACCCAGCAACGCCGCGUGAAGGAUGAAGUAUUUCGGUAUGUAAACUUCGAAAGAAUAGGAAGAAUUAAUGACGGUACUAUUUAUAAGGUCCGGCUAACUACGUGCCAGCAGCCGCCGUAAUAC